GUUUGAUCAUGGCUCAGAGUGAACGCUGGCGGUAGGCCUAACACAUGCAAGUCGAACGGCAGCACAGGAGAGCUUGCUCUCUGGGUGGCGAGUGGCGGACGGGUGAGGAAUACAUCGGAAUCUACUCUGUCGUGGGGGAUAACGUAGGGAAACUUACGCUAAUACCGCAUACGACCUACGGGUGAAAGCAGGGGACCUUCGGGCCUUGCGCGAUUGAAUGAGCCGAUGUCGGAUUAGCUAGUUGGCGGGGUAAAGGCCCACCAAGGCGACGAUCCGUAGCUGGUCUGAGAGGAUGAUCAGCCACACUGGAACUGAGACACGGUCCAGACUCCUACGGGAGGCAGCAGUGGGGAAUAUUGGACAAUGGGCGCAAGCCUGAUCCAGCCAUACCGCAGUGGGUGAAGAAGGCCUUCGGGUUGUAAAGCCCUUUUGUUGGGAAAGAAAUCCAGCUGGCUAAUACCCGGUUGGGAUGACGGUACCCAAAGAAUAAGCACCGGCUAACUUCGUAGCCAGCAGCCGCGGUAAUACGAAGGGUGCGAGCGUUACUACGGAAUUACUGGGCGUAAAGCGUGCGUAGGUGGUCGUUUAAGUCCGUNGUGAAAGCCCUGGGCUCAACCUGGGAACUGCAGUGGAUACUGGGCGACUAGAAUGUGGUAGAGGGUAGCGGAAUUCCUGGUGUAGCACGUGAAAUGCGUAGAGAUCAGGAGGAACAUCCAUGGCGAAG
rnacentral:rRNA from 1 species